rnacentral:rRNA from 1 species
UACGUAGGGGGCUAGCGUUGUCCGGAAUCAUUGGGCGUAAAGAGCGCGUAGGCGGCCCGGUAAGUCCGCUGUAAAAGUCAAAGGCUCAACCUUUGAAAGUCAGUGGAUACUGCCGGGCUAGAGGGUGGUAGAGGCGAGUGGAAUUCCCGGUGUAGCGGUGAAAUGCGCAGAUAUCGGGAGGAACACCAGUAGCGAAGGCGGCUCGCUGGGCCACACCUGACGCUGAGACGCGAAAGCUAGGGGAGCGAACAGG